rnacentral:lncRNA from 1 species
UUAAUUAGUUUCAUGGUCCUUUAGGACUAAGCAUUGGUCAUCGUUUCUAUUACUGCUGCUGCGAAAAGAUUCUUGACUAUUGGAUAUGGUACCUUGUGGAGGUCUCUCUAAGAAGUGCUUAUUUUGGUUGCACGGUAAUUCCAAAUCUUCAAAGUUGGUAGAAUGGGCUGUUAUGAAUAUAAAGGUUUAAAGAGAAGGUUGGUAUACAGUGUUCAUAUUUACAAGAUACUUUUUAUGGUUAAAAUUAAAUUCGUAGAAGUCUAUUUCAUCAAGCACAUAUAUUAUCACAAAUAAUCUUAUUGAAGCUAAAGGGAAAAAAAAAAAAAAAAAACAUCUAAGCUUUUGAAUAUGGCAUGCUUGGUACUUCAGACCACAUGCAAGUGCAAGGAUCAAAUACUUCAGCUGACUGAAGAGGACUCAAUCCACCUCGUCCACGAGUAGCACCUCCAACAGCGUAAAGUUUAUUGUUCGAGACACUAGUCUUACAAUAUGCUCUGGCAAUAGACAUAGGAGUCACUUCACUCCAACAAUUUACAAUUGGAUCAUAAUGCCAGAUGCAGUUCAGGGCCGCAGCCCCACAAAAUCCACCCAAGACAUAGAGGCAGCCAUCAACAGAUCCAAUUGAACAACCACAGCAUCUAAUCUUGUCAAAUGCAUUCUUUGUUCCAAACCAUUCCCUAAUAGAAUCCUCAAUUUUAAUAUUUGAAGCAACCACAUUCCACAGACGAAUGCUCGAUAAGCCCCUUCUAGUUCCAUCUUCAACAGAAACUUUUGGCACUGGAGGCAACCUUUGCCAUGUCCUUGACACUAUUAUGCUUUUAAUUGAUAUUGCAGAUUACUUUUUUAACAUGUGAUAUUUUUACAUAUUCAUAUUGUGAUGAAAUAUUGAAUAUUUUGAAUUUGUUAAAUUCUCUAACCUUAAUUUCUUUUGACAUUGCAAAAUUUUAUUCUAUCUCUAGGGAUUUUAUUUCGAACCAGCUGAUAACGCAAUAUAUUUUAUAUGGUGUUUCUUUAUACUUGUAAGAUAUUUGUUAAGUUUCAAAAAUAAUUUUAUUUAUCUUUUAUAUUCAUGUUGUAUACUUAGAAGUCAAUUAAAAAAUCUUCUAAAAGUUCUAAACAUCGAAGUACUGCGAUUGUUGUAGCAAUUCCAUAGACCAAUAAAAGACUAAGAGUUUCUAGUGAAGCAGAAAAUACUAUAUCUACUCCAAUUAUCGAUGAGUAAAACCCAUCCCGUCAAAUGCAAAUGCUCCUAAGAAGAAAAGAGGUCCAACCCAAGUGAUGGUUCCUGAACAUAAUUAUAAGAAAAUAGAACUUGAACUCAAUGAAUUUGGGCAAGUAGUUGUCGGUAACUCCGAUAAAUUUGCUAUUGUUGUUGGAGCCAUGGUACGAGAACAUGUACCUAUUACAAUUAAAGACUGGCAUUCAGUGGAUGAAAAGAAAAAAAUGGAACUUUGGACUUUCAUACAGGUACAUCUCUUAACUAACUUUUUACGAUUUUUUGACACCAUUCUUUUAAGUUAUAAAAUAUAUUUGUGCACAGAUGUAGCAAAGGUUCGAUAUCAAUGAUUGUCAUAAAAUAAUGACAUUUCAAUAUAUGGGAAAGUAUUAGAUGACAUUCAAAUCACAAAUUGAGAAAAGAAAUCAGAACUGAAAUAGCAACAUCUGUUAAUAGAACACGAACCAUUGCCCUCCUUGGACCAAAGAAUGUAAAUCAUGAAGAAGCAAUGGAAAAGUUUCUCAAAGAUACUCUUUCUGUUGACUUCGAAGUAAGAAAUAUUUGCUUAUUAAUGUUAAAUUUUUAUUUAGUUGUUUCUAUUUUUAUUGUUUUGUUUUCUUAAUGGGAAAAAAGUUCCAAGUUCGGGAAAAUGAGAAAGGGUCAAAAGCUUCCUCACACUUUGGGUCGAAAUGCUUUUUCACGUACGGCUCAUGAGAUGGUACAAUUACACACCUAUCUUGUCUGGUUAGGAAUGGAGUUUCAUUUCUUCUUAGUUAUAGGUAUUACACACCAUUGUUGAUUUCCUUCAAGUAUUCAUUACGUAAUUACUGGAUUUAUAUUGUAGAGAAAAAAGAAUCCGGGCUUAAAGGGGUUAAGAACUAGAGUAUGGAUGCAUGGACAUCUUAGAAAUGAUGGUAAACCGAUAAAUGAAGCAGUCACCGCAACUUUGGCACAUGUAUUCUUUCAAUGUAUAUGAUUUAUUAUACGUAUUCAAAGCUAGUAUCUAAUCUGAGUUCCAUAAGUGCAGAAAAGGAUAGAAGAUUGUGCCCAAUCAAUUUCUGAUACACCAGCAGAAAAUUCCAUCCACAAUGAUGCUGUUGCUCGAAUUUUAGGUCCUGAACAUCGUGAAAGAGUUAGAGGACUUGGAUUUGUAGUUUCACCAUCGAAAGUGGAUGGACAAUUCAAAUUAAUGGGAGAGUGAGAGAACUUGAUGAAAAGGUUGGAGCACUAGAAGAAAGGUUGAAGCACUUCUUAAAUUAUCUCAACAGGUUAUAAACUUUUAUCAUCAUAUAUAUACAAUGAUAAUAUAGCUUAGCAUAACUCAAUAUGGAGAAUAAUUUUUUAAUUUUUGUAUCAUUUACAGAAUCAAAACAAGAAUGUAGACGACUUGAGUUCACGUGCUUUUACUCAGGUUUUUGUAUCUUACAUAUUAUUUUGUAUUCACUAUAAACAUAGAAUAUAGCAUAUACUAAUUUAUUUUACUUUGAUUUUGUAGUCACAACAAGGAAGUGGUAUCUAUGGAGGGAUUGCACAUACGGAACAUGCAAGGUUUCAACUGUUGCAUUGGUGCAUAUUUAAAGAGGAAGAAAUUGUAGUUGAAGGAAGGAUUGCAUCAAUAGACCCAAGUGCAAAGGUCAUCACAUACCAAUCGGACGAGAUUGUUGGACUGUUUGGGUUGAGGAAGUGCAUAUGGGCCAUUUGAACUUAUGUAGACCUACUGAUGAAUUUUGAGUGCUUAGAGAAGCCAUAGGAAGUAUAGUUGUUUGGCUAAAGAGCAGUAUUAGACUUAUUUAACAAGGUAUGUAAUGCAUUUCUGCAUUUUUGUUUCUGUGUGUAAUAUCUGUACUUGCUAGGAAAAAAUGGUUUGAUGGAUGAAAAACAAGCACACUCCGGUGUGGUUUAGAGGCUUACUUGGGUGUAAGCCUCUGGAAAUUGAGGCAUAAGUCCUGACCAAUAGCACAUAAGGUGUAAAAUUUGGAGGGCAACCAAAAUAUGCUCAAUAUCUUUGUUGUUCACUUCACUCUUUCCUCUCAGAGUUUCUAGCAAAUAAUGUAUCAGAAGAUUACGAGAACCAUAUUUUGCACCCGUCAAAUCUUUAUUCAAGAAAAUAUUACCAACAUGUUAUACAUAUCAUUUAUUUCUCAACUAUGUGAUCCUAUAGUUAUAUUUUUUUCAUUAAUUUCUGAUGGAGUAAGAUUCUUGCAGUCAAUAAAUAAUGCUUUACAAAGUUAAUUUCUGUGUUCUGUGGAUGUACAAGUGUGCAUGCACAAAGCCUUGUACAAGCAGAAAUGUCCAUAUUUUCAUCCUUCCAUGUCAUUGCUGAUUUUCAAUGUCAAGUUUUUCCAAGUUCUGUUGGGUAUGGAUUGUUUUAAUGGAUUUAUUCUCUCUAAAAAUAGCUUACGUGGUAUCGUUUUGCUCAUUAAGAACUGAUUUACUACUUGCAAAAUUCAAGUAUAGCAGAUGAUUUUAUAAUCACCUAUCAUGACCGUGAAGCACAUAUCCUUUUUUUCUAAAUUGAGUUAGCCCUACCUUUGCAUCUCCAUGCAGCAAGAAUAGAUAAUAUGAUCAUGACUCGAAGUUGUAUGUGGUGUAGUUGGUUGCUUUUGUAUGUGGAAUAAUUCAUCUCAAGACUCAACCUCGUCAAAGAAAAAAACUUGGUGAAAGUCUUGGAAUUUUAGCAUGUAAGACGAUUUUACAUUCUGUGUUAAUGUCUAUGAAAUUCGAUUCUUUUCCUUCGAAUUGAUUAAAUGUGAUAUAGUUUACAAAAUCUAAUGGAAUGUAUGAUGGUGCUGGUGAAUUGUUUCAGGGAUGAACGUGGUUGGUGAAUGCUAGCUCCCGGGCUUUCGUUUUUGUAAAACUUGGUGAAAGUCCUUUGUAAAGUAUCCAAGCUCAACGAAUCAAUUAUCACAUGGCUAAGUUAGAGAUUCAUGGCCUUAUUUUGUAACUAGGAUUUAAGUUUUCUACAACUCAUAUCAUAUCCAUAUUUUGUAAUUGUGAGAAGAAUUACAAUAGUUAUC